rnacentral:lncRNA from 1 species
AAGCACACUGACACAAUAUUUUACGUGGUUCGGCAAAACCGCCUACAUCCACGGGAGAGUCCAUAUUAUUAGAGAUAUAUAGAGAAAGGAUUACAACAUACAUGGAGGAGGAGGAUCACUUCACUCAAACUCAACUCCCAGCUCUUUUGCUGCACUUGCAGCUGCUGCAAUGGCAGCAAGGCUGCUGCCAUUGCAGCCCUUCACUUUCACUCUACUCUCUUCACAUUCUCACAGCUCUCUCUCUCUC